ACAGAGACCAAACACACCCUUACUCUCUCCAAGCUUAAGAGCGCAUUCCAUUAGGCAAAACAAAUCAAGCUUAAGAGCGCAUUCCAUUAGGGAAAAACAAAUUGGGGAAACAGAGAUUGGACCUUAACAUUCAGAUUUGCUGGAACUGGAACGAGAUACGAUGGUCGCUCAAUGGUUGACAUGGAUUUCACAUCUUUGGGUUCAACUAGUCUGUUCAGAUACUCUUCAUAAGGAGGGGUUUAUUGGACUUCUUCCCGAUGAAAUCAUCAUUGAUAUCCUCAGUAGACUCCCAACUGAUAGUGUUUUAGAAUGUCGAAGGGUGUGUAAGAAGUGGUUGGCACUAACUUCAAUACCAUAUUUUGCUUCUAAAAGAGCUGCAAAACGAG